rnacentral:rRNA from 1 species
AGAGUUUGAUCCUGGCUCAGGACGAACGCUGGCGGCGUGCUUAACACAUGCAAGUCGAGCGGAAAGGCCCUUCGGGGUACUCGAGCGGCGAACGGGUGAGUAACACGUGAGCAACCUGCCCCUGGCUCUGGGAUAGCUCCGGGAAACCGGGAUUAAUACCGGAUAUGAUCUCCUGCUGCAUGGCGGGGGAUGGAAAGUUU